rnacentral:lncRNA from 1 species
UUCUGCUCUUCUACCAUGUGAGAAUUGCGAGCUUGUGUUUGGAUUAAGCACACUGAAGAAAGAUGUUUACCAGUAUGGAGAGCGUUCUGACACAAGUGAAGUCAUACUGUGAUUCAUCUCUGCUGUCUUCUGAGGAUGCCGAAGCUUCCUAUCCUGGUGUGGUGUGUCUUCAGGAAAAACCUUUAAAAAGUACCCACAAAUGUUUAUCAGAAGACAUUGAGAUGCUAUUUCCAACAUGCUAGUAUCAGAACUUUGUCGAGUUUGUAGGUUGAAUUUGUGUGACAAAGCAGUUUAACUCUAUCUCUAAAGUGCACUUAUUUUUAUAUAAUUUUGAAGUGGACUUAUCCCAUGGGAUGAUUAUCUUCUCAAAG